rnacentral:tRNA from 1 species
UCCCUUGUAGCUCAGAUGGUAAAGUGUCUGCUUGCAAUGCAGGAGACCCAGGUUCAAUCCCUGGGUCGGGAA